rnacentral:lncRNA from 10 species
CCCGAUUCUGACUCCGCCCUCUCUGUCCUUCGGUGGAGACUCCGGGAAAAACCUGCCUCCCAGUCUGCCCUCUCUCCGUCUGUCUGUGCUUGUUUUUCUACGUUUAUCCCUGUCGCUUUCCCCACUUAUUCUGCAGGCAUGGCGCGCCCCCAGUGCCGGCUUGGUGCCAGGGCUGGGAGAUCCGGGGGUGAAUCGUGAGCCCGGCCCACAGCGAGCUUGCAGUCUAGAGAUCAAGGCAGUCUUGUCCACAACCUGCUGUCACAUAAAGCAAAUGUAGCUGGUGUAGCACCAGGGGCUGCAAUCAAGUGCGGUGGGGCGGCAAUAGUGACCACGGAAAUAAUCAGAAUUGCUUUUAAUUCAGCUCCUACUAUAUUCCCGCAUCCCUGAGCCUCACAAUCAUCCUCCAAGGGGACACUCUUUAGGAGCCUGGCGGUGUCACUGACCCACAAGGAAAGGAGCGUUACCAUCAGUGUCGGAAUGGAUGACAUCAACAAACUGCGCAUCACUGGGAUCUAAUCUGUCUUGGUGAGGUUUCCCGUUGAAUAAAGGGCCUGCAGGGUCGAGGCCUGGAAGGAAAACAGAGUCACUUGGCAGCCCCACACCAUGAGUCACCUGCAGCCGGGCCUUUGAUCCUUCUGGAUGAGGGUGGCUCCCAGGCUGCAGGGCACCCUCAGGAAAUGUUAAGGAAAUGAUACAGGCUUCCUAUAUCUUUUUCCUUAAAAACGACUCUAUGGACUUAAGUUCACCGAAGGAAGUGGAAUGAUGACAUGCAAAAUGACAACACAACUAAUUCUAUUUUUUAAGCAGUUAAGAAAACCAGUUUGUAAAUAACCUACCUGAUCUUGACAAGCACAACAAACUGAUGAAUAAGUAGAAUCUCAACAUAUGGAAACUGGAGAGAUCGUGUGUCACAUUCACAAGAAUGAUUUACUUCGCAGAGGCUUAAGAGUUUCCACUGUGGGAUUUUGCUCACAGUGAGCUCAGACGACUCAGAGGUGUGGUGACAACAGGAAGUUCCCUAGGGACUGACUGCAGGCAGUCCCAACCCUUUCAGGAUCUUUGACUCCUCCUCUUUUCAAUAAAAGGUCACUCAUUGUCUACUUUAUACAAUUUUGUGCAUAUCUUAAUAUUAUAAUCUGCAUCUGCAGAAUGACGAGUUCAGAAUAGUUUCAUUCUUCGUGGGCGGUUUAUUAGUUGUUUGGCUUGGUGUGUUGAAACCAAGUGUGACUUGAGAUCUUUUCCCCUUGGUUCUUGUGAAUGAAAUAACAAAUCCAGUUUGUAUCUGUUGGCCUGUAUAUACAAAACCAGUUUUUAUGUUAAUUCAUACACUCAUUCAUCAUAGGGCAGUCUUUAGAUUUUAAGAACAUUUCAUUAGGUCCAAUUAUACAUCUACAUUUGCCAAAAUAUAUGUAUGCUUCAGAUUAAAAGAAACUUUUUUUGGUAUUAUAUAU